rnacentral:lncRNA from 10 species
AUUGAUGGGGUUUCAAGAUUUCUGUAAUAGAUACAUACACAAUCAUAUUGUUGAGUUGAAAGAAAUGUGUUUCCAAUAAGUAGUAUUUACUGGGGUUUAACAACGAUGUAAUAGUUACCUGUCUAUUACAUGGUAGUCAAAGCUAAAGAAAUGUGUUUUUAAUAAUCAAUUGGCAUUUCAAAUAUAUAAGAUAACUGCCAUAUGAAAUCGGAACCUAGAUACAAUCCACAUUUGAGACUUGUUUUUGAGAGUCUCAUUCAUGAUUCUGAAGUAUUAAUGAUUGGUUAUUGUAAAAGGAAUAUUAUUAUCAAAGGGAUAAUAAUUUGUAUUCAUUUCUCUUAUACUUUCUCUGCUUUUCUUCUUUCAUUCUCCCUUUUCCUUUUACUUCUCCUUAGCAGUUAUUUUAUUACACCUUCUAUUUUAAUUGGUUGGGAUUGCAUUCGGCCUGUAUAAAGAAAAUGAUCCUUCCUCCCAACCAGAAAGAAUAAAAAGUAACUGAAUGAAUACCUUUGGCUCUUUUAAUCCAUGCCAAGAGGAAGAGGUGAGACAAAUCGGAGAGCCCCAGUGAUAGAUACACAUGCACUGGCAGAUUCCCUUGGGAUUAACCCUGCCUGUAACUUUGCAAUAAGAAUUUGUGCCACUCUGCCGGGUGCAGUGGCUCAUGCCAGUAAUCUCGGCACUUUGGGAGGCCGAGGCAGGUGGAUCACCUGAGGUCAGGAGUUUGAGAUCAGCAUGAUCAACAUGAUGAAAUCCCGUCUCUACUAAAAAUACAAAAAUUAGCCGGGCCUGGUGGUGCAUGCCUGUAAUCCCAGCUACUCAGGAGGCUGAGGCAGCAGAAUCACUUGAAUCCAGGAGGCGGAGGUUGCAGUGAGCCGAGAUCGUGCCAUUGUGCUCCAGACUGGGCAGCAAGAGCAAAACUCCAUCUCAAAAAAAAAAACAAAAAAAGAAUUUGUGCCACUUUCCCUCCUUGGGCCACCUUGAGGCCAUCCCAUUCUCCAACAUUCCCGCAGAUGUUGCCUCUUAUAUUCAUACAUUUGGCAAGUAUUUGCAAGAUGCCUUGUCAAUGCUAAAUUGCUCUACCAGAUGCUGGUGCUACAAAAACAGAAGGCAGAGUACCUGCUUUCAAAGAACUCUCAGUCCAAAAGGAAAGUGGGACUAGACAAGCCAUAAGGAGAAUGCAGCGUGGAAAGAAGUGGGCAUCAUCCAUGGGAGCCCGAAGAAGGCAAUGACCCACACAGCUCCAGCCAGCUUCAUUCUAUAGCACACACAGGUAAAGUAUGGGGUGAGGACCAUUCAAACAGUGAUCAUGGUGAUGACGCAACCUACUCUCCUGUAUUAUGUGGCUUAGAAAGCACCUCCUCCCCAGUCCUUCCCUGGCAGGAGCUCUUUCCCUCUCGCUGUCAUUCUCCUGCCUGGAAUGCUCCUUCCCUGAUGGUCUCUGUGGCUGUGCUCUGCUCAUACAGCAGAUCUCGGCUCAGAUCAAAAGAGUCUACCUGAGCACCCUCCCAGAAAGGGUCUUCCCAGUGCCCAGACCCCCUCAUUUUUUCACAUCAGACACAAAGUGCAAGCUGUAAUGAUCCCGUGAAUGUAAUGUUUUCUCAGCUGUCUCUCCCUAGAGCAAUGCAGGCUCCAUAAGGAUACGAGCUGCUUUCAACCCGGUUGACUGCUGCAGUCCUCACAGGCAGGUAGAAGCGUAUCUGGUGGUGGCAGGAACUUCAUCCUCAUUUGUUGAAUGAAAGAAUUCAUGAAUUCAUGAAUCUGCCAUGUCAUGCCCAGAAGGCUGGAUAAUAUAUGCCACUUUGUGUCCAUCAUACGAUUGCUUUGCCACCUGCCCAGCCAGCACUGCCUCUACAGAAGAAACUUAGAGUGCUUCGUCUAGGAAGGAUCCCUGGGACUUUGUACUGAGCAUCUUGGACUGGAACCCUGGCAAUGAGUGCUGACAGCCAAUGUCUCCAGCCAGAUGUGGCCUGAUGUGGCUUCUUGGCAUGGAGCUAACUGCAGCCUCCCCGGCCCCUGCCCUGAGAGUGGAGGUGGACAACUGGAGGAAGAGCAGGGCAGGAGAUGGAUGGUGUUGGAUGGGAGGAUGAAAUCAUUUUUAGAAGAAUGUGUCACGUCUCAGGAAGAGCCAGUAGAUACUGUGGGACCAUCAGCAAAUGGACACAUGAGAAAUGAAGGAGCUGGACAUGCCAAGGGGCAACAAGUUCUCAAAAAAGCAUGGAAACUCAGUAUUGUUAAAAGCCCAGUACAUUCAAUGAAAGCAAAGUAACUGGAAGUGGCUAGAAGGAAAUCUUUGACGAUCUUGAUGAGAGAAUAAUCAAGGAAGUUAUUGGAAUGAACCCCAGACUGCAUGGAAUCAAAAUUGGCUUGAGGUAAGUGUAGCAGAUGGCAUAAAUGACACACAACUUGGGGCAGGGACCACACACCAUUUGCUUAAGUAUCUGGGCAAUGAAAGGGAGAAACAGCAGUAGUAAAGGGAAGUAAUAGUUUUCUUAAUAGCUGAUGAGAUCUGUGCAGUAAGAGUAGAGAUGUAAAAAACAGAUGGACUUAGUGUUGGAAGCAAAACUCCAAGAAGCUGAGAAUGAAUGGGAUCAUGAGCAUGACUAGGGGUGUGACACAGUCACCUAGAGACAGAGCUAUGCUUUGAUGAAGAAUGAGAUGGAUAAAGUUACAGAGAUGGUUUCUCUUACUAGAAAAAACUUCAAGUUAGAUUUCCUGUUGGGCAAAUAUUUCAGGAGUAAGCUCUAUGCCAGGGAUCUCAAACUCAAAUACCUUCUGGAACCAGGAAGGUGAUAGCAUGAGUGAACUGAUGUGACAGGCAAUUACUAAAGAACCUUAACUUUCCUCCAAGUGAGGUGCUCUCUCCCAUUUUUCUUAAAGCACGCAAGCAACCUUCUUAGCUUAUCUUUUACUUUCUGAAUUUUGAUAGAGACAUGGUCAGGGAGGAGGGUUUUCCUUUAUUGAGAAAUCCAACGUUCCAUGUGUGCUUAUAAAUACAACUGCCACUUGGUCUCAGAGUCAAAGACACAAUACUGAGUCCAAAUGGAGUUAGAAUGUGUGUCCUAAAGAGAAAGGUCACUAACCAGUUCCUACUCAAUUUAAUCACGUGAGUGUGUAGGCUAGGAACUGUCAGAUAUUUUAAGAGAAGCCAGAACUCUACCUGUUUAUGUGAAAUAUUCUCAUUUUCAAUGUUGGCUCAAUUGAAAAGCAAAACAAGGCUAGGUAGGCCAUCUGGGCAGCAGACCUGCCCACGCAUCAAUCUCCAUCCUCUGUUGCAGACAUUCAAUUAAACCUGUCACAGACCAGGAAAACCACUUUUGAUACCUGAAAGUCAAAGUUACUUGUGGUUUUCUUUGGUUGCACUGAUUAAAGGAAAGAGGAAAAAAAAAUCCUUUAAUGCCAAGUGAGCAAUUUGGGAUUAACGGUUUACCUGGACAAUUGCUAAUUGGGAAAACAGAGCAAGACACUUAAGCUAAACAGGUUCUGUAACAGUUGAGCAGUUGUUUGUUUGACUUGGAUAAAAGGAGGCAUUGUUAUGGUUGAGGUAGGUUUUGCUUUACCUGCUAUGGCAGAACUACAUGAUGUGGUCAUCCAACAAUGAGGUCUUGGUAAAAUAAAUUAUGGUGAAAUGCUAUGCAGACAUUAAAAAACAAUGAUUUAGAAAAAGAUUUAUUUAUCUUGGGAAUUUCUCAUUCUAUAUUGGUUAUUGUUCCAGACAAUGUUACCAAAAUUUUAAGUUUUAAAACAGAUUAAAAUAUUAUACGCAGCAUGAUGCCAUGAUUUCAUACGUUAUUAUCAUUAUUUUUAAAAAUUUUCUAAAAUAAGAACUUCUUUUUCCUAGUAGUCUCUUGUUUAGGCUCUGGGAUAACGGGAACUGAUGCUGCAGAAAGAUGUGACUCAGGAUUGUGGAACUUUAGGAAACUUGGGGGUUAUUUUAUGAUAUCAUUCAUGCCAAGGGAGCCAAGAAAUAUCCACAUCUAUGCUCAUUUCAGACUAUUUCACAAAGAUGCUCCCAAAUUCCACAUUAUAAUACCUUUUCAAUUUCCUCCCUUCAAUUCUGUCUCCCUCCGUUUUUGGUGGAGACUGUUGUUUGUCUUCAAAUAUCCAUUGCUUCCAUGAUAGAAUUUUAACUGGGCACUGGGAUGCUCAAAAAAAAGGCAACAUUUUAUCUUCCUUGGCAACUAGAAGUAACAUGUGACUUUCUUUUUUUCUUUGCCAGUGUGGUAAAAGAAGAAGGCAACUUUCGGAAACUGUCCUAUAGGGCUGUUGUCCCAUGACCUGUGCCCUCUUCCUCUUUAUAGUCUCUUUCUGCCUCUUCCGGCCUAUGUCUGGAUGCUGCCAUCUUGAAUUCCAUGGAUGACAGCUAUGCUGUAGGGAUGACAAGGUUUCAUCUGGAAGAAGACAUCUGAGAAUAUUUUGAAGCAGAGCUUCCAACCUCUCUGAGCUAUAUCCUCAGAGCCUAAUUUCUUCCUAAGAAAUAUGCCUCCCUUACUUACUCUAGAAAUAGACAUAUCUGAUGUGUGUGCUGGGAUGAGGCCCCUUAUGAACCACAAUCCUGCCUUUACUAUUUUAGACAACCAAUGACUAGAUCCCUUGAUACCCCCAUUUAAAUUUCUAAAAUACUAAGUUGAUAUAUUGGGUAAGUAAGAACAUCUACUCUCUAAUUUUUUUUUGUCAGAACUUUGCUCAUGGUUUUAAGAACCAAAAUUAAUAAUGCAACUAAAAAUCUGUCAAGAGUCCUCCUAUAACCCUAUUUACCUUUAUUAAUUUUUUUUGCUUUUCUUAUGACUUUAUUCCACAAAGUAAACAUUAAGAUUUUCAUAUUAAGUGUCCUCGAAAACUAUGUGAAAUUUUUAAUGGCAUUUUAUUAAAGUUAUACUAAAAUGAAGAGAAUCUAUCACUUUUCUAUAGUAAACCUUUUCUCCCAAUAAAAUA